GUGAGGAAUAUUGGUCAAUGGGCGAGAGCCUGAACCAGCCAAGUCGCGUGAAGGAAGACGGCCCUACGGGUUGUAAACUUCUUUUGCAAUGGAAUAAAAAGAGUUACGUGUAAUUCAUUGUAUGUACAUUGCGAAUAAGGAUCGGCUAACUCCGUGCCAGCAGCCGCGGUAAUACGGAGGAUCCGAGCGUUAUCCGGAUUUAUUGGGUUUAAAGGGUGCGUAGGCGGAUUGGAAAGUCAGCUGUGAAAGUUUGCAGCUUAACUGUAAAAUUGCCAUUGAAACUGUCAGUCUUGAGUGCAAAUGAGGUAGGCGGAAUGUGUUGUGUAGCGGUGAAAUGCAUAGAUAUAACACAGAACACCAAUUGCGAAGGCAGCUUACUGGGAUGCAACUGACGCUGAGGCACGAAAGCGUGGGGAUCAAACAGGAUUAGAAACCCGAGUAGUCC
rnacentral:rRNA from 1 species